rnacentral:rRNA from 1 species
UACAGAGGGGGCAAGCGUUGUUCGGAAUUACUGGGCGUAAAGGGCGCGUAGGCGGCUUUGUAAGUCGGGGGUGAAAUCCCCGGGCUCAACCCGGGAACUGCGUCCGAUACUGGCGGGCUUGAAUCCGGGAGAGGGAUGUGGAAUUCCAGGUGUAGCGGUGAAAUGCGUAGAUAUCUGGAGGAACACCGGUGGCGAAGGCGGCAUCCUGGACCGGUAUUGACGCUGAGGAACGAAAGCCAGGGGAGCAAACGGG